AUUGAACGCUGGCGGCAGGCCUAACACAUGCAAGUCGAACGGUAACAGGAAACCGCUUGCUGUUUCGCUGACGAGUGGCGGACGGGUGAGUAAUGUCUGUGAAACUGCCUGAUGGAGGGGGAUAACUACUGGAAACGGUAGCUAAUACCGCAUAACGUCGCAAGACCAAAGAGGGGGACCUUCGGGCCUCUUUCCAUCGGAUGUGCCCAGAUGGGAUUAGCUAGUAGGUGGGGUAACGGCUCACCUAGGCGACGAUCCCUAGCUGGUCUGAGAGGAUGACCAGCCACACUGGAACUGAGACACGGUCCAGACUCCUACGGGAGGCAGCAGUGGGGAAUAUUGCACAAUGGGAGAAAGCCUGAUGCAGCCAUGCCGCGUGUAUGAAGAAGGCCUUCGGGUUGUAAAGUACUUUCAGCGGGGAUGAAGGGAGUAAAGUUAAUACCUUUGCUCAUUGACGUUACCCGCAGAAGAAGCACCGGCUAACUACGUG
rnacentral:rRNA from 1 species